AAUCAACAUAGAUGGUUAAAAACUAGUUUGUAUGCCGUAAAUUGUGUAGUCUAGGCUUCAGAUCCCGUCCAUUCCUCUUUUUGCUAGAACUUUAGAAAGCAAAAUGAGGUCCGAGUGAAAGCAAAACACUCUGUUUCAAAUUGCAGCUACGAGGUGCCUCAUGAGAAAGACAUCGUGAUAUGCAUUUACUGCUUUCAGCUAGUUUGUAAUUGAUCUAAUCUCUCUUCCCCUUCAAUCUUAUGAUGUUGCAGACGAAUGGCGAGGAGCAGUGCAAGUAUCUUGUAGAGUACAUGGAAAACGAUGCUGGAGGCAGCUUUUGUAAUUUGAACGUGGUUCCCGAUUUUGCUGGUAUUAAUAGAUUUGUUACUGGAAUCCGAGUCACCCUUUCUUUUACUCUUAGAUAUACAACAACAACAAAGCCUUUUACUCUUAGAUAUAAACAAGAAAUAAUCAAAAUUUGUUUAUGAGUAAGAUUGAGAUUAGGCGGAAGUGUUAUGUCUAUACGCUAGUUUUCUAGUACUAGAGAUCCUUCUUUAAUUUUCUAAGUUCCAAGUUUCCUACAUUGCUGCUAGCACAAUCUCCUAUUUGUUUGACAAUGAUAUAGAUUGUUUUUCUUCUUUGGUGGAGAAUAGCCAAUAAAAUGAUAGCAUGUUUACGUAUUUAGAAUAGGAAAAGUCAUGUUUACUUACUUGGACGGAAAAAGUCGCGAAUUGAACAAGUUGGAAUAACUCCAUUAUGCAUGGUAACGUAGAGCCCACGUACUUUCAUUUCCGAAUGCGUUAUCAAACACAACGAAAGUAAAAAAUAACUCAAUUACGCAUUCCAUGAAAGUAACACUAAAAUAAACGGAGUAAAAAUUUUAUUGAGGAGAUAAAUAUGUACAAAAAGUUGAACAGUUGGUGGUGGCUUUUCAUCCGUAGAACACUUUGAGAUUAACAUAUGUCAGAUGUGAUUGGAAGUAUGGGGUUAAAGUAAAUGUGCAACAAGAGCAACAAAAACCUGAGCUCUUAUGCCUGAAAUCAGGCCCUAACCCUUUGGGUCGAGAUACAAAGCGUGUCAAUCUUUGGUCUUAAUUUUCAAGACACUCAACCAUUCCCCUUCUUUGUUAAGCACCAACCUUCGUUUGGUGACACUAGCAACAAACCUAUUAAUCAGUAUCUUGACAAAUCCUCACUACAUCCUGAAAAAUCAUUUGCUCUUUCUUGAGAUGGGAACAUCUUCCGGCAUAGCCCUCUUAAGCUGCUCAGCAUGACGUUCUUCGCGAUUGCCUCUUCACUCUCUGGGGCAACUUGAAUGGACUCCAGCUCUUUCGGCGUUUAGAGGAGGACUCACAAAAAAGAGGCCAGAGGCCAGAGCUUGCUGAAGCCACACCUCAAAUUCUUCUUCAUCUUCAUCCAUCAUUUCAGCAUCCAAAUCCCACGGGAAUCUACUUGAGUUGGAUCUUUGAGUUUUCUCCAAACCAACCAUGUUAACGUGGAAGCUAGGCCUAUGAGUGUUGGGCCUGCACGCCAUUCCCUGCAUGGAACAAGUUGAAGCGAUAAGAUACCAACCUCGUUUCUCCCUGGCACAAAGUAGAGAUGCACACCAAAAACAUAAUCAUGGAUCAAGGGUACUUGUUCUAUUAGUCCAAGGAACAAUUAAAAGUCCUUCCAAUAUAGUGUCUUCUGUGCUACAAGGUUCAGUAGGAUGUCUGCCAGGUAACUGGGGUCCGCUCGCUCACUGUUCUACUCAAAUUUGAAUACUUUCCAGAUCAAGUUUUAAAUAAGAAUGAUGCUUUUGAGGCAAUUUGCCUGAUUCAUGUAAUUUUGCAGUUCCACCGCUGUAUAGGGUACAAAACAUGCAGACUGUAGAACAAGGACAAGCUUGCAGAACUUAGAUAUUAUAUCCUGAUUAAAACCAUUACCUGACAAAUAGCCCAUUCAGAUACAUCAAAGAUUUUGCUCUCAGCACAGACGAAGGCCCGUGGUAUUUCCACCUAAAUGAAAAGAAAAAAAAACAACAAACAAAGACAACAAAAAUCAUAAGGGAUGCUUAAAUGUACAUGUCUGCAACGAGGGAAAUGAUUCAGCUUAACAAAUCAUGCAAAUCAGUGUUAUGAAGAUAUUAACAUGCAUUAUAGAAACAGGGAAUGCGUGUGAAAGUCACGAGAGCCCUUGAAAGCUGGAUCUCAUCCCUGAAAGUCACGAGAGCACCAUUUAAGCAUUUUGAAUUCUGAACUUCUAACUCUCAAAUUCCUACCUUUAUUUAUAGUCAUUUCUGCAGUUUCUGACAUGCAACUCGCUUCAGUGAAAAAUUGUUUUGUUUGUUUAACGCAUUGAUAAAUGCAUGUGAGUGAGGACAGCAGAACCAUUUGCAUAGGGUGAGAAAAAGGUGUUCAGGUAAAAACUCUCAAGGUAUACACAAUUAAGCUUGGAAAAAAUACACAAAAAGUACUGUGUAAAAUACCUUAUGUGGCCUAUUAAAUACUAAAGUUCCUUUGUACUCAACCCAUCCAUCUCCAUCCUUUGCUUGGUGAUAUUGACAGCAAUCCUAAUUGCACAAUGGAUCCAAUACAUCAGAUGCAUACAGCAAUGAUGCAAAAAAAAUGAGAAAAGUAACAUAUUUGACAUUGAAAUUAGUUAAAAAGAACAGCAACAAAUAGAGAAUAAUGUCAGACCUGACACCAUCUAGCCUUGGCCUUGCUUCUGUUUGUGCAUAUCCAUAUAUGCGAAUUUCCACACUUAGUGCACUGUAUACGUCUCGACUCUUCAGAAAAAUAAUCUGGACCAUCCUGCUUAUACACAAUUAAAUAGGGGUUAUAUAACAAAAGCAGUAAAUUGACUCGGAAAAAUGACCCAGUGAAAUACAGAUUUAUCAUCGGACAAUAAGAUGUGGAAGUACAAUGCAGACUGCUAUAAAAAAAGAUAGCUUCUUCUACAUUGCAUAAUUGAUAUAAAUUGGAAAUUAUGCACCAUAGAAAAUUUAAUUAAUAUAUUUUGAAUUUGCAAUUACUAAGACAAUAUAGAAAUAUGGGUUAAUCUCAGUUUACUACCUUGGUUUUCAACAUUUGUUACAUCAAGUAUUUUUUUUAUUCCAGAGUGGUACCUGAAAUCAUAAAUUUGGGACACUUUCAUACAUCCAUUAAGGUUGCUGUUAAAUCAGCCGGUGACAAGGCGCCCACAUGAACACUGAUUGGACGCCACGUGUCAAUAUGGGCCCAUGUAAAUAUUAUAAAAAAAGGGUUAAAAUAUCUGGGCAGCCCAACCCUCCCUCCCUUCCCUCCUGCACCCACCCAACCCUCCCUUCUCUCCUCUGCGCCCACCCAACCCUCUUCAAUCCCCCGCACAUCCAACCUUCCCCCUCCCUCUUUGACUCCACUCUUCUCUCCCCUGAUCCUUCCAUACCCGAACAACCUCUCCCUCACCACCAUACCCCAACCCCACCCAUUUGACGGCCGGUGGUCAACAAAACCUAGAUUUACGGCCGGAGAGUCACACCUACCAGAUUUGACGGCGGUGAAGAACAAAACCCAGCGGCCGGAGAAGACAGUGGCGGGGAGCACAAACCCAGCAGCCAAAACGAUUUUUUAAUCUUUUCAAAUUUUCUUUCGAUUUUUGCAUUGAACAUGGCCUCUGUUCUGCCAUCUGUUAUGCAAGAUUUGGUCUGAUUUGGAUUUUUUUUUUCUGCAUUCGUUGUGGAUUCGGAUCCCAGGUGCCAAAUAGGGACAAACAAAGUGAAAGGGGUUGGGUGGAUAUGAAAAGGGAGUACAGCGCUGCCCAGAUUUUUAUUAUUUUUUAAUCUUUAAUGUCUAAAUGCGCCCAUAUUGACACGUGGUGUUCACUCAUUGUCCAUGUGGGCACCACGUAACCAAAUGUAUGAAAGUGUCUCAAAAUUAUGAUUUUAGGUACCAUUCUGAGAUGAAAAAAAUUUGAUGUACCAAAUGUUGAAAACCAGGAAACUUCAGGGUAGAAAACUGAGAUUAACCCUAGAAAUAUUAUAACUGCUCUCAUAUCUAGAGUUAUUGAUGACCUCCAUCAAAAUGACAAUCAGAUAAAUCUCAGGAAAGUGUAUGACACUAAACAACUAAAGGCUCGUUUGGAUGUGCUUUUAAAAUAACUAAAAGCGCUUUUAGAGAACAUAUUUUUGGGUUUCAAAAGUACUUAAAAUGUUUUCUAUAAGAAGCAUUAGUUAUGUGCUUCUUCCAAGAAGCACUUAAAGUACUUUUUCAGGAUUUACUUGCAUCUUUACCAAAGAUUAGUUCUAAAAAUAUCAUGCAACGUUGCACCAUGAUUCGAAGAGUAAAUUUUUUAUGUCACUUUUUAAUUCUCAUGCCAACAUUAUAUAAUAUUGUACUAAAAAUAUGAGGUGGCAGAGAGUCCAUAGAGUCUCAAUUUUGAGAGUGCAUUUCUCAUCGGCUAAACUCAACAAACUCUAAGAUCGUUUCACUUUUAACAAUUAUCCAAUAAAUAAACAAACUAUAAUAUUUAUUAAACACUGAAGUUUUAACAAGGUAAUAGAAAAAUCAAACUAUUUUUUAUUUGGCUAUUACAAAGUCUUACAAAAAGGAAAAAGAACAAACAAAACAAAAUAAAAUGCAAUCUGGUGGAAUGUCGUUCCAUGCCUAAAAAUAAAGCUAAUAAACACACGGAGCGUGUCGUUUCGCCUAGUCACAGUCAUUGUCGCUCAUUACCUGUCUUGGCGCGAAGAAACGACACUUCUCAACUGCUUUUCAAAAUCACUUGCAAACUCAAAGCUUCUCCCUGCAGAGUACAAGAUGCAAAAGCCAUUAAAACAACAAUAAUGUUAUUCUUAUCAUAUUUUUGUAUCACAGUUCUAUACCACCUUAGGCGGUAUUUGAUGUGAACAGCUACAUCAUCUAAAUUAAUUAGUAUUUAAUUUCAAAAUGUUAAUCAAUAAUUAAUAAAAAUAUUGUUAAUUAAAUGAUGAUUGUGGUAUACAAGGAGUCUCCUUCUUCCACCUAAGAUUAUUAAGUGUUUUAAUUAAUAAAAAUAUUGAAAUUAAAUGAUAUAGCUUGUCCAAACACAUCUGUCACCUAAGAUGGUAAAAAAAUAUGGUAUAAAAUUGUGGUAAGCAUCAGUGACUCUUAAAACAAUAAUAUCACAUGAUUUCAAAGCUACCCACCAACGUCCCGCCUCACCUGAGCCUUAGGUUCUUGAAAAUCUACUGUAAUUCCGGCGAUUUACAACGUGCACGCCGCCUGUUCAAUCAAAUUCCCGAACCAGACCUGCGUGCGGGGACCGUGCUCAUAUCAGGCUACACGCGACAUGGGUUCCUCAAGGAAUCCAUAGAUCUUCUGCUUCUGUCAGUUGCUAAGGCGUGUGCUGCUCGUGGUGAUGUUAGAAAUGCUAAAGAGCUUCACGAUGAUGCAAUUCGAUUCGGGUUUCAUUCGGAUGUCUCUUUGGGCAAUGCAAUGGUCGAUACGUUUGGAAAAUGAAAGUAUGUUGAUGGGGCGAGAAGGGUUUUCGAUGCCAUGGCAGUGAAAGAUGUGGUGUCUUGGACCUCUUUGUGUUCUUGUUAUGUUAACUGCGGGAUGCCCAGACACGGUUUGGAGGCAUUUCGCGAAUGGAGUGAGACCCAAUAUAGUAACAGUUUCUUCAAUCCUACCUGCUUGCUCGGAGUUGAAAGAUUUGAAUUUGGAAAGAGUGAUUCAUGGGUUUCUGGUCAGACAUGGAAUGGAAGAGAAUGUUUUGGUUAGCAGCGCCCUUGUAAAUAUCUAUGCUAGUUGUCUGAGCACUAAACAAGCUCAGUUGGUAUUUGAUAUGAUGUCUAGACGAGAUGUCGUGUCCUGGAAUGUACAUCUAACUGCGUAUUUUUCGAACAGAGAUUGCAAAAAGGGUGUAACUUUAUUUUCUAGGAUGAGAAGGGAAGGUGUUAAAUUGGAUGGUGCUUCAUGGAAUGCUGUUAUUGGUGGGGUGCUUGAAUAACGGGCAGACGGAAGAGGCGCUGAAAAUGCUCGGACAGAUGCAAGAAUCAGGAAUUAAGUCCAAUCAGAUCACAAUUACUAGUUUGUUACCAGCUUGCAAAGAUUUGGAGAGCUUGAGGGCAGGCAAAGAGGUGCACAGUUACAUCUUUAGGAAUUGUUUAAUGGAGGACUUGGCUGUGGUAAGCCACGGGGAUCCAUUAGUAUCGAAAACUCUCCUGGAGCAGGAUCUUCUGUGCUAUUCCAAGACGAUCCAUUACUUUAGUCUAAAGUAGGAGGGGGAACGGCACUGUGCAAUUUUGCCUCAAUUUCACUUUAUUUACGAGCUUGCCUCAAUUUUGCAUUUCAUUCUUCGUUCAGUGAGGGAUUCGGGGAGGGGAGGCCAUGCCGCUCUGGGAUCGAGAUAGAGAGACAGAGGGAAAGGGAGACAGAGGCAGAGCGACCGAGAGAGAGUGAGAGGGAGGAGUGGGGAUCCUCGAUUUCAUGAGUGGGAGAGGGGGUACAGUCGGAGAAAAAGCAUGGGGGCCGUCGGGAUUUGAGGGGGAGGCGUCGGGAUCGUGAGCGGGGGUCUGGGUUUGUCCCUUUGGACCGUUUGCGACCUCUCUUGGCGACUUACUCCAGCUUUCCGGUGAUGGAAAAACUGUAUCAUUCACUCCUCAGGUAUGUUACUUUUCGGUCAUUGUUUUAUUAAUUCCAGUUCUCAUUCUAAUCUCUGUAAAGUUUGUGGCUUUGCUCUGUUUACUGUUUGAAGAGGAGAUAGAAAGUGCAGCCUUUCUUCGCCUCUGAAUAUUGUCAGAAUCUCUUCCCUCUUUUUUUUUUUUUUUUUUUUUUUGGAAAACUGGAGAACUAGUAUUCCAGGGCACAGCCAACAAAGUACACACAAGAGGGUCCAAUUACAAGAUUAAUACAAAGCAAAAGUGCACCCUAACCAAAGCCCAAGGAGAACUAAGUACAAGCACAAACGGGCCAACAGAGUAAAACAGAAAAGAGCCCAAAAGAGCAAAAGAAACCCUAGUCUUCUGCUUCCACCUCGCAAAAGAGCUAAACUUGUAAUCAUAAAUAUUUUUCUUGCAGACUUAUAAUUGCAUGUCUCAUUGUUUGCCAGCAAAAGACUAUAAGCUUCAUGUCAACCUUCCGAACACGUUUUCUGAUGGUAGAUUGAAGGAUUAACAAGCACUUCAAUGAUGAUCUACAGACUACCGAGGAUCUAUCAACGCAGUGCUGAAAGUAUUCUCUGAACAAAGAAGCAUCCUUGAUGGUGAUUCAGGGAUGCUUUGUUCAGUGUAAAAACCGGGCUGCUUUGGAGGCGGCAAGGCAACAUCACUGCUCAACAUUAGAACCACAGAUGACAUGUUUGGUCUAUCCUCAGGUACUCUUUGCACACAUAAUAGCCCCACGUGAAGACACCUUACCACUUCAUAUAUGUUGCACAAAUCACAAAACUUCUUAUCGAUCAGUUCUAGUGGUUUAUCCUGAAUCCAUAGUAUCCAUGCCUUAAAACAAAUUGAAACAUGUAUGAUAUGUUAGUGGCCUAAUAUGUAAAAGGUGCUUUGCUGCAAACCUUCAACACUGUGAAAUGGCAUGUCAUUACAAGACGUGCUUCGAAGAGCACCGUCUAAUUCACUAUUCUUUUUAAUGUAAAAUAUCAUCACCUUGUUGGUUAAACUUACAUGUCCAAGAAGGUUGUGGUUGUGAUCUGGAUGACGAAAUCCCCUGUUCUUCUUCCUACUCAACAUCUCGAGCAAUAUGACUCCAAAGCUAAACACAUCAGAUUUCAUCGAGAAAAUUCCAUCUGCUGUAUAUUCCGGAGACAUAUAACCACUGCCAGAUCAAUAUGCAGUGACCAGUGAGAAAGAAUUUCAAAAGCAAAACAAUCAAAAUAUAAACCACAAAACAAAUCUAAGCAUGCUUACUAGGUUCCAACCACUCUGUUUGUAUUGGCCUGACUUUGGUCACCGCCGAAUGUUUUAGCCAGGCCGAAGUCUGAAAUCUUCGGGUUCAUAUUAUUAUCUAGCAAAAUAUUACUACAUUUCAAAUCUCGAUGUAUAAUCCUUAAUCUAGAGUCUUGGUGAAGAUAAAGAAGCCCUCGAGCAACUCCACUGAUAAUGUGGAAGCACUUAGGCCAAUCGAGCAAUUUUUGUCCCUCCUGAUCUGAAGAAACUUUAAGCUUGUUAUGUCAAUGCCACAUUGAAUCCUAGUAUAAUAAGGUUGAAAAUGAAGGAUCGUACCAAAAAUAUAGAAGUCCAAGCUUUUGUUGGGCAUGAAUUCAUAUAUUAGAAUCUUUUCAUCUUUUUGAAUGCAACAACCGAGAAGCUUAACAAGAUUGCGAUGCUGAAGUCUGGCUAUGAGUAUAACUUCAGUUUUGAACUCUUUCAUUCCUUGUCCGGAAUUCUUUGAAAGCCUCUUUACUGCAAUUUCUUUUCCUCCUAUCAGGGUACCCUAUUGACCAUCAUUUCGAAAAGACUUAAAUUUUGUAUAGCAAUUUAGCUAAUUUUGAUUGCAUGAAUUUAUGUUACCUUGUACACAGGUCCAAAGCCACCUUCUCCCAGCUUGUUACAGCUUGAAAAGUUGUCAGUGGCUUUAGCUAUGGUGGUCAAGUCAAACAGUGGUAACUCCAUCUCUUCCCCGUCUUCUCCAAGGUAUUCGUCUCUGCAAUCCUUUCUUCUGUGUCCUGAAAUAGUAGGAGAUCUCUUCAGCGUGGACAAAAAGAUGCGAACAGUUAGCUACACUAUCGAAAUUAAAUACUACCUUAUCUAAUGCAUUUUUAAUGUGUCUGAAAAUGGUUACCUUCAUAUCUGAGUUUCUUCAUCCGUAUGUACAAUAUCAUUCCAACAAGCAAUCCCACGAGAAAAACUGCAGAGCUGAGGAGAAUUGCUAGUAGCUGUCUCUUGUUGAAAUUGCUCUUUUUCUUAACAUGAUCUGAAAUAUCCGUAUAAAACAAACUUUGCAUGUGCUCGUAGUGUUCCAGUAACUGUGGUUCUAACAUUAACUUAUUUAAACCCUACUUUGCAUAAUUGCAGAUAAGGGUCUAAGACGUACCUAGUUCUGAAGCUGCCACCCGUAUAUAGAGGUCUUGACCACCGCCGGGAGUGAAUUCUUUUAUGUCGAUGAGGUUACCAAACCAAAGCACGCAGCCACUUCCUCCCUCCCUGAUGUCUAGAUUUGCACACGCCGUGCAUGAGCAGUUUCCCCAACAUAAUCCCUUGCAUUCACUAAGGCUCAUGCUUUUAUCAAACCAUGAGGAGGAUGUGUCUGGCAAUUUAAUCCCACUAUACUUUACGAAGCCAUCUCCAUCGCUGCAGGCCAACGGAGUCCUUCGAACACAUCCAUCAGACCAAUAUCCCGAAUUCCAAUCUUUCAAAGAUUUUGGUACAAAUCCCUUCAUGCAUGCACAUAUUGCAGAGUUACUAUUGAUACUGCAACUAGAAAAUGGACCGCACAAGGCAUACUUUCACACCGAUCUGCUAGGAAUGAAAAGGCAAGUUCCCAACUCUGUGUUUGGGACACCCAUGUGAACUUCUCUGAGACUCCUGAUGGGUUCAAUACAUAUCUCGAGAACACUGACAUGUUCCGGAGCCUGUACUCAUAAUAGACCUCGUCCUUGUUCAUCACAAAUUCAGUCCCAGAUAUUGGAUCUGGAUGUGUGACAUCAUAUCCGUAUCCUGUCAAAUAAAGGCCAUUCCAUGACCCUCGUCUGGCUUGUAUCUUAUCUCCUUUCAUAAUUAAAAAUUGUGGUAAGCCACGCAGAUCCACUCGUCCCGAAAACGCUCCCGGAGAAGGAUCUUCUGUGCUCUUCCAAGACGAGAGAUACCUCUCUAAACCGGUAACCAAGUCCCAACCAAGCUUCAUUUCCGGUAGGUAUGUGUCACAAGGAUAAUCAAAACUCUGCCACAAGAAGUUAUCCGGGUUAGUUUCUUUCCCAUCUUGCACCACAAGAUUUCCAGAAUCCAAUAGUUGCGAUACUGGAUUCCCCGCAAUUCUUGAUGAAUUCGAUGACCACACAAUGCUGUUUGAGCUAUUCAGGAGGACUAGAACUCCUUGCUCCGUGAGCUUCAAAAGUCCUGAAGAAUCACCAAGUGGUGUUUCUCUGUUGGCCACCCACACAACUGCAUCAGCAGAAGCAGUGUACCAUAUUCCCAAGUACCGGCUUUUCGAUUUACCAGGGCUGAAGAAUCCCAGUUCAUAGCUUCCACCUACUGAAACCAGAGUUUCGCCAUCUCUUAUAUAUCCACUCGGAGUGAUCGUGACCAGUGCAGUUGCAGCUGAGAUUCUUUGGAGGGAGAAUAAGAAGAACAAGCACAUAAAAACACUUGUCAAGGCUUGCAUCGUUGUUCUGAGAUUGCAUGCUUUAUCCAAAGAAAUUAAUACAAAAAAUUAUGCAGAGAAGAUGGAAAAAUCAAAGUAAAUUCAAAGACUUGGGUUUCUUGAUUGACCCAACACCUUUGGUUUGGCAAGUCAGCCAUGGACUAUUGACAAUUUUGACUCAACUGAGUUGACAGCUGACACUGUUCACAUCUCCAAUGGUGGAUUGCCAAACGACUAUUUGUACCAAGUUUAUUUAUUAAAUAUGUCUGUAUUUGAGAAAAUAAAUAAUGUUUUUGUAUAUAUGUCAAAGUUCUACGUGUAAAAAAUAAAUGACAUACAUGGCGAACUGUUGAAAUUCAAACCAUAGGGUUAUGCAAACGAUCAUUUGAUAGCAUCUUGUCUUCAAUUUAUUUGGAGAGGUUACGAGUUCAAAUUUCAAAGAGAAACGUGUUCAAAUUUUAAAGAGGAAUGUCAACGUCUUCUUAUUUGAAAUUUUUUAUUCUACAUUACUGACUUUUUUUUUAUCGUGCAAUGUUACAAAAUGGUCCACACUGUAGAUUUUUUAAGUCAUUCUUCAAAGGUCAAAUCUACUAAAAAUUAACCAAUUUUAAGAUCGUUUAGCUAUUUAACAAGUAUCAAAUAAAUAAACAAACUGUGAUUCUAUUAAACAUUAAAAUUUUAAGAACGUUAAUCGAAAGAUCAAACUAUCUUUUAUUUGACUAUUACGAAGUCUUACAAAAAGGAAAAAGAACAAACAAAACAUAAAAUGCAAUCAGGUGGAAUGUCGUUCCAUGCCUAAAAUAAAGCUAAUAAGCCUACGGGGCAUGUCGUUUCUUGCCUAGAAAGUCAUCGUCCGCUUAUUACAUGUCCUGGCGUGAAGAAACGGUACUUCUCAAUUGCUUUUCAGUACUAGGCCUAUAAAAAGGAUCGAGGCUUGAUGGGCCGGCUUAAAGCCCAACCCUAUUUUUUGGUGGUGGGCUAGCCCGAUACAGUUUUAGAGUCGAGCUUUAUCCAACCUGAUUUAAAAUGGGCAGGGCCUAAACCUUGCCUUUUAAGCCUUGACAUCUUUAGACUACUUAGUACGUCCCAUGUAAUUUAAAUAUUUUUUUUUUUGAACAACGAUAUUAUCUACACUAAAAGGGAGGGGAUUUGAUCUACAUAUUUUUGUAUGCUAUAAAUUGUGUAGUCUAGGCUUCAGAUCCCGUCCAUUCCUCGUUUUGCUAGAACUUUAGAAAGUAAAAAUGAGGUCCGAGUGAAAGCAAAACACACUGUGUUUCCAAAUUGCAGCUACGAGGUGCCUCAUGAGAAAGACAUCGUGAUAUGCAUUUACUGUUUUCAGCUAGUUUGUAAUUGAUCUAAUCUCUCUUCCCCUUCAAUCUUAUGAUGUUGCACGAAUGGCGAGGAGCAGUGCAAGUAUCUUGUAGAGUACAUGGAAAACGAUGCUGGAGGCAGCUUUUGUAAUUUGAACGUGGUUCCCGAUUUUGCUGGUAUUAAUAGAUUUGUUACUGGAAUCCGAGUCACCCUUUCUUUUACUCUUAGAUAUACAACAACAACAAAGCCUUUUACUCUUAGAUAUAAACAAGAAAUAAUCAAAAUUUGUUUAUGAGUAAGAUUGAGAUUAGGCGGAAGUGUUAUGUCUAUACGCUAGUUUUCUAGUACUAGAGAUCCUUCUUUAAUUUUCUAAGUUCCAAGUUUCCUACAUUGCUGCUAGCACAAUCUCCUAUUUGUUUGACAAUGAUAUAGAUUGUUUUUCUUCUUUGGUGGAGAAUAGCCAAUAAAAUGAUAGCAUGUUUACGUAUUUAGAAUAGGAAAAGUCAUGUUUACUUACUUGGACGGAAAAAGUCGCGAAUUGAACAAGUUGGAAUAACUCCAUUAUGCAUGGUAACGUAGAGCCCACGUACUUUCAUUUCCGAAUGCGUUAUCAAACACAACGAAAGUAAAAAAUAACUCAAUUACGCAUUCCAUGAAAGUAACACUAAAAUAAACGGAGUAAAAAUUUUUAUUGAGGAGAUAAAUAUGUACAAAAAGUUGAACACAGUUGGUGGUGGCUUUUCAUCCGUAGAACACUUUGAGAUUAAC
rnacentral:lncRNA from 1 species